GGUUUGUUCCAGUACCAGGAGAAACUGGAAGUACUCCGGAGCAAACAGGGAGAAAAUCGUUCCUGUACUAUCUUCUUCUCUUUUUUCUUCUUCUGGUGGCAAACCGGAGUGAAAAGGAGCAAGAAUUUUUUGCUCCGGAGCAACAGGGAGUAACUUCCAUGUACUGGAACAAACCUAAUGACUUUCAACUAUACUAUACAUACAUUCUAUGUGAUUGUCACAUACCUAAGUGUUAUGUGUAAAGAACAUGAACAUUAUGUGAAUAUACGAUGUGAAAAAAGUUGACAGUUUCAAUAUGGUUUCUCGUAUAGUAACAGCACAAGGCAAAGGAAUUACGAUCGGAGAUACUCAAACACUUUUCUGAAGGUAUUUAAAGAAUGCGGAAACGGAAAAAAACUGUUAGCAUUGAAGGAACCAAAAAAACUACGACGAAGUUUGCUGAUUUUCUCAACACAAAGGAAGCAUAAUAAGAGAAACUAUUUUAGCUGCUGAUAGUUAUGCAAAUGCUAUUAAUUAUAAACAGAACAUGUAAAUAUAAGAUGCAUUACAAUAAAA